rnacentral:rRNA from 1 species
GACGAACGCUGGCGGCGUGCUUAACACAUGCAAGUCGAACGGUAAGGCCCUUCGGGGUACACGAGUGGCGAACGGGUGAGUAACACGUGGGUGAUCUGCCCUGCACUUCGGGAUAAGCCUGGGAAACUGGGUCUAAUACCGGAUAGGACCACUGCCUGCAUGGGUGGUGGUGGAAAGCUUUUGCGGUGUGGGAUGGGCCCGCGGCCUAUCAGCUAGUUGGUGAGGUAAAGGCUCACCAAGGCGACGACGGGUAGCCGGCCUGAGAGGGUGACCGGCCACACUGGGACUGAGACACGGCCCAGACUCCUACGGGAGGCAGCAGUGGGGAAUAUUGCACAAUGGGCGCAAGCCUGAUGCAGCAACGCCGCGUGAGGGAUGACGGCCUUCGGGUUGUAAACCUCUUUUAGCAGGGAAGAAGCGAAAGUGACGGUACCUGCAGAAAAAGCACCGGCUAACUACGUGCCAGCAGCCGCCGUAA